AGUGAACGCUGGCGGUAGGCCUAACACAUGCAAGUCGAACGGCAGCACAGUAAGAGCUUGCUCUUACGGGUGGCGAGUGGCGGACGGGUGAGGAAUACAUCGGAAUCUACUUUUUCGUGGGGGAUAACGUAGGGAAACUUACGCUAAUACCGCAUACGACCUACGGGUGAAAGCAGGGGAUCUUCGGACCUUGCGCGAUUGAAUGAGCCGAUGUCGGAUUAGCUAGUUGGCGGGGUAAAGGCCCACCAAGGCGACGAUCCGUAGCUGGACUGAGAGGAUGAUCAGCGACACUGGAACUGAGACACGGUCCAGACUCCUACGGGAGGCAGCAGUGGGGAAUAUUGGACAAUGGGCGCAAGCCUGAUCCAGCCAUACCGCGUGUGUGAAGAAGGCCUUCGGGUUGUAAAGCCCUUUUGUUGGGAAAGAAAAGCAGCAGGUUAAUACCCCGCUGUUCUGACGGUACCCAAAGAAUAAGCACCGGCUAACUUCGUG
rnacentral:rRNA from 1 species